rnacentral:snoRNA from 13 species
AUGCAUUCUUAAAUUUCCUUGGUAGCUUUACUCUGUGCUUCCAUGAUAUGAGUGAAUGCAUAGAAAUUGCAGAGGAAUCCAAAGGACUGUGCUUCACCUAUGGCUCAGUGUUAUUUUAUACCUGUGACAUCA